AGAUACGUCCUACGGGAAGCAGCAGUAGGGAAUUUUCGUCAAUGGGGGCAACCCUGAAACGAGCAAUGCCGCGUGAGCGAAGAAGGUCUUCGGAUUGUAAAGCUCUGUUGCCGGGGAAAAAGGAAGGAAAGAGGAAAUGCUUUUUCUUUGGAUAGUACCCGGCCAGAAGGUCACGGCUAACUACGUGCC
rnacentral:rRNA from 1 species